GCAUCCUCUCGGUAUCUAUACAGUAUAUAAAGGGCAGAGGAUGCGAUGAUAUUUACAGAUCCAGAAACUUCAGCGUCUGAAUCAAGCACCAUGUUUGCCAGCAUUGCAGUCCGUCUCAUGGCCACCUUGGCUCUGAUCGCAACAUUCGCUGCUGCUAUGCCUGAUAAUUCCCACAACCAGCAUGCUGAUGGAUGGCUGGAUUAAAUUCAGAUGAAUGUGGAAGCCAGAGAAGUCUUCAGUGAAGCUGACCAACUCUAUCCAUUAUGAUUAACUAAAAUAAAGAAAGAAAGCAUUCAAA